AUCAACUUUCGAUUGGUAGGAUAGAGGCCUACCAUGGUGGUAACGGGUAACGGGGUGUUAGGGCACGACACCGGAGAGGGAGCCUGAGAAACGGCUACCACAUCCAAGGAUGGCAGCAGGCGCGCAAAUUACCCAAUCCCGACACGGGGAGGUAGUGACAAUAAAUAACAAUACGGGGUUCUUAAGGAUCUCGUAAUUGGAAUGAGUACAAUUUAAAUCUCUUAACGAGGAACAAUUGGAGGGCAAGUCUGGUGCCAGCAGCCGCGGUAAUUCCAGCUCCAAUAGCGUAUAUUAAAGUUGUUGCAGUUAAAAAGCUCGUAGUUGGAUUUCGGGGUUAGUAGGUUGGUCAUGCCUCUGGUAUGUACUGGUCUCACUGAUUCCUCCUUCCUUAUGAACCGUAAUGCCAUUAAUUUGGUGUUGCGGGGAAUUUGGACUGUUACUUUGAAAAAAUUAGAGUGUUUAAAGCAGGCUAACGCUUGAAUACAUUAGCAUGGAAUAAUGAAAUAGGACGUUCGAUCUUAUUUUGUUGGUUUCUAGGAUUGACGUAAUGAUUAAUAGGGAUAGUUGGGGGCAUUAGUAUUCAAUUGUCAGAGGUGAAAUUCUUGGAUUUAUUGAAGACUAACUACUGCGAAAGCAUUUGCCAAGGAUGUUUUCAUUAAUCAAGAACGAAAGUUAGGGGAUCGAAGACGAUCAGAUACCGUCGUAGUCUUAACCAUAAACUAUGCCGACUAGGGAUCGGAUGAUGUUAAUUUUUUAAUGACUCAUUCGGCGCCUUACGGGAAACCAAAGUGUUUGGGUUC
rnacentral:rRNA from 1 species